rnacentral:misc_RNA from 1 species
GAAAUGCGAUAAGUAGUGUGAAUUGCAGAAUUCAGUGAAUCAUCGAAUCUUUGAACGCAUCCUGCACUCACUGGUAUUCCGGUGAGUACGCCUGUUUCAGUAUCAUUGAAAACACACAAUCAAAACAUUUUCUUUGGUUUGAUUGGCUUUGGGUCUAUCAAAAAGUUUGGCUUGUUUCUUACAAGCCAAGCGGCCUGAAAUAUAUUGUCUGGCUAAUUGCAUCGUUGAUGAUCGCUAUUAGACUUUGGCUUUUUUAAAUGAACUGGAGGUUGAUUAACCAGUUUUAGCUUUAGUCAAAUGGUCAUUGUAAAAAAAAUCUCGAUCUUGGCUAGGUGUUUAUAGCCGAAAAUUUUUUUUUGGCUAUAACCGAAACCAAUAUAAUCACAUUUAGUUAUCGAUCUGAAAUCAGGUGGGACUACCCGCUGAACUUAAGC